GAAACCGAGUCUUAACCGGGCGUUAAGUUGCAGGGUAUAGACCCGAAACCCGGUGAUCUAGCCAUGGGCAGGUUGAAGGUUGGGUAACACUAACUGGAGGACCGAACCGACUAAUGUUGAAAAAUUAGCGGAUGACCUGUGGCUGGGGGUGAAAGGCCAAUCAAACCGGGAGAUAGCUGGUUCUCCCCGAAAGCUAUUUAGGUAGCGCCUCGUGAAUUCAUCUCCGGGGGUAGAGCACUGUUUCGGCUAGGGGGCCAUCCCGGCUUACCAACCCGAUGCAAACUGCGAAUACCGGAGAAUGUUAUCACGGGAGACACACGGCGGGUGCUAACGUCCGUCGUGAAGAGGGAAACAACCCAGACCGCCAGCUAAGGUCCCAAAGUCAUGGUUAAGUGGGAAACGAUGUGGGAAGGCCCAGACAGCCAGGAUGUUGGCUUAGAAGCAGCCAUCAUUUAAAGAAAGCGUAAUAGCUCACUGGUCGAGUCGGCCUGCGCGGAAGAUGUAACGGGGCUAAACCAUGCACCGAAGCUGCGGCAGCGACGCUGAUGCGUUGUUGGGUAGGGGAGCGUUCUGUAAGCCUGCGAAGGUGGCCUGUGAGGGUUGCUGGAGGUAUCAGAAGUGCGAAUGCUGACAUAAGUAACGAUAAAGCGGGUGAAAAGCCCGCUCGCCGGAAGACCAAGGGUUCCUGUCCAACGUUAAUCGGGGCAGGGUGAGUCGACCCCUAAGGCGAGGCCGAAAGGCGUAGUCGAUGGGAAACGGGUUAAUAUUCCCGUACUUGGUGUUACUGCGAAGGGGGGACGGAGAAGGCUAUGUUGGCCGGGCGACGGUUGUCCCGGUUUAAGCGUGUAGGUGUGUGUUCCAGGUAAAUCCGGUUCACUUUAACACUGAGGCGUGACGACGAGGCACUACGGUGCUGAAGCAACAAAUGCCCUGCUUCCAGGAAAAGCCUCUAAGCAUCAGGUAACACGAAAUCGUACCCCAAACCGACACAGGUGGUCAGGUAGAGAAUACCAAGGCGCUUGAGAGAACUCGGGUGAAGGAACUAGGCAAAAUGGUGCCGUAACUUCGGGAGAAGGCACGCUGACACGUAGGUGAAGUGAUUUACUCAUGGAGCUGAAGUCAGUCGAAGAUACCAGCUGGCUGCAACUGUUUAUUAAAAACACAGCACUGUGCAAACACGAAAGUGGACGUAUACGGUGUGACGCCUGCCCGGUGCCGGAAGGUUAAUUGAUGGGGUCAGCGCAAGCGAAGCUCCUGAUCGAAGCCCCGGUAAACGGCGGCCGUAACUAUAACGGUCCUAAGGUAGCGAAAUUCCUUGUCGGGUAAGUUCCGACCUGCACGAAUGGCGUAAUGAUGGCCAGGCUGUCUCCACCCGAGACUCAGUGAAAUUGAACUCGCUGUGAAGAUGCAGUGUACCCGCGGCAAGACGGAAAGACCCCGUGAACCUUUACUAUAGCUUGACACUGAACAUUGAGCCUUGAUGUGUAG
rnacentral:rRNA from 1 species